ACUAUUUUUCGUCCCUUAUUAACUCACAGUCUCACUUACUCUCUCCUCCAUGGAGUUUACAGCUGAAAAAUUUUCACCCUAAAAUUCCCAAUUUUGUUUGCUUGAAACUUCUUCUAGUCCCUCUUUCUGCUAAUCUAAUUGAUUCUAGUUUGAUUUUAGAUGUUUGAGUUUGGUGUAUUGGGAGGAAUAAAAGUUAACAUGAUCUCUACCAUUGCGCUCUGGAGGUAAUGUAUAUGGUAUUUUAUUUUCGGUUCUUCAUUAACCCUUUUAUGUCUCAGAAUUCUAUCCUUUACAUUUGACAAACCCUUUUAAGUCUACUCUCUCCACAAUCCAAUUUCCCAAUUCUUCAAACCCUAGAUUUUUUACAUUUCUUCUCUCUAUAAAUCCCUCUGCUUCCUGGAUAAUUUCAGUCAUCUCCCAACAGAUAUCUUAUUAGACAUACUGACUAGGUUGCCAAUUGAAUCAAUUUUAGAGUGCAAAUUAGUUUGCAGACCUUGGUGGAAGCUGGUUUCUCGUCAUCCAUCAUUCUCUCAAUUGCAUUUAUCUCAUCUUAAUCAUUUUUCUGACUCUGGUAAGUUGGGUUUUCUUGUGUUAGAUGAUUCUCAAGAUUUUUAUUAUUUUGAAUAUAGUGAGAAUAAUUAUGAUCAAGCACCUAUUCAUAAUAUUACAAGAAUCAAGAUUAACCCUCCAUUUAGAUUUUCCUAUCGCGUAGUUGGUUCGUUAAAUGGUUUAGUCUGUCUAUAUGAAUACCAACAUGAUAUUGCUUGUAUUUGCAAUCCCCUGACCAAAGAAUAUGUUCUUCUUCCAAAAGUUGAUGAUGAUCAUGAGUUUAGUCAUCGGUCAAUUGGAUUUGGUUACAAUGCUUCAACUAAUGAGUAUAAAGUUGUUGAACUGUAUAAGCUAAGGGGGAAAAUUCAUUUUAUGGAGGUUGCAGUGUAUACUCUUGGCAAUGGCAAAGGUUGGAGAUAUGUUGAGAGGUUGGAUACUAAAUUUGCCAAUAUUUGUUAUGGACAUGGUGUCUUCGCAUAUGGAGCUCUUCAUUGGAUGAAUAAAAAUGGAGAAAGGGUAUUGGUCUUCGAUUUGACAGAGGACAAGUUCUAUGAAAAUCUUUCACUGCCAGAUUUUCCACCAGCCAGUAGAUGGCUUCAUUUUACAAUGGGGGUUCUUGGUGAGGAUUUAAGCUGCACCAUCAGAUGUGAGAUUACUGGAUGCACAUGCUUAGAAAUAUGGUUACUGAAAAUGAAGAACGAUAAUCCUGACGUGGAAGAGCAGGUGGAACACGAGCCAUUGCGUUGGAGUAAAGAGUUUAGCCUUUCUGAAAAUCUACCAUUAGCCAUUACCAAGAGUGGCGGUGUUUUAUGUUUCGACGAUCGCUCUUUCAGUAUUUAUGACCCAGUAGCUUCGACCUUCAAAAAACUUGUGGAUUUCUAUUUUAUUGGUACGACAUUCCAUCACAGGAUCACUUUAGUUUCGUUGAAAGGUUUAGGAGAAAAAAAACAUUAGAAAAAUGGAGUCAGCUAAAUUGAGGAGACAUAAAGCUGUGAAUUGACGGCAAAAUACUAGCAAGAUGAGAUCCCAGGAUGCACUUAUAAACAGGUGCAAAUCUGGAAAUCUUAGCAAUGACCAGGUAUCUAAAGGAGGCAUAAGCUCUAAUUUUGGAUAAAGCUGUAGAGUGGAUCCUUAUUUUGCUGCAGCUAUCUCAGGUCAUUAUUCACAGGGAAUAACAAGGAGGCUAUAGAACUUAUGACUUUUACUUUUGGCACUGUUAAAAAGGGUUUGAUCUUUAUAAGGAAUAUAGAACUUGAUCUGGCUCUAUUUUGAUAUGUUAAAAAGGCAAGCAAAUCAAACUACUGUUGUAUUUUGCACCAGAGAAUGUCAUUUCCUUGAGGGCAAUUGGCACCAGAUCUUGUUAAAAGUAAACAAGCUGGUCAAAAUUCAUGACUGGUUGCUUAGAUUUUAGGAGUAAUGUUUGCCAAAAAAAAAAAAGAAAAAAAAAAAAGCUCAGUUUUAGAGGAAUCCUACACAAUGGAUCGUUGGGCUUAGUCUGUCAUAAUGAAUGGCCCGUUCCAUUAUACCA